rnacentral:rRNA from 1 species
UAGGGAAUCUUCCACAAUGGACGCAAGUCUGAUGGAGCAACGCCGCGUGAGUGAAGAAGGUUUUCGGACCGUAAAGCUCUGUUGUUGGUGAAGAAGGAUAGAGGUAGUAACUGGCCUUUAUUUGACGGUAAUCAACCAGAAAGUCACGGCUAACUACGUGCCAGCAGCCGCGGUAAUACGUAGGUGGCAAGCGUUGUCCGGAUUUAUUGGGCGUAAAGCGAGCGCAGGCGGAAGAAUAAGUCUGAUGUGAAAGCCCUCGGCUUAACCGAGGAAUUGCAUCGGAAACUGUUUUCUUGAGUGCAGAAGAGGAGAGUAGAACUCCAUAUGUAGCGGUGGAAUGCGUAGAUAUAUGGAAGAAUACCAGUGGCGAAGGCGGCUCUCUGGUCUGCAACUGACGCUGAGGCUCGAAAGCAUGGGUAGCGAACAGGAUUAGAUACCCUUGGUAGUCCAUGCCGUAAACGAUGAGUGCUAAGUGUUGGGAGGCUUCCGCCUCUCAGUGCUGCAGCUAACGCAUUAAGCACUCCGCCUGGGGGAGUACGACCGC